rnacentral:rRNA from 1 species
GAUAAACGCUGGCGGCGUGCCUAACACAUGCAAGUCGAACGCCCUUACGCAAGUAAGGGAGUGGCGGACGGGUGAGGAACACGUGGGUGAUCUGCCUUGAGGUGAGGAAUACCGGCGAGAAAUCGCCGACAAUACCGCAUACGUUCGCAAGAACAAAGUCGCAAGACGCCUUGAGAUGAGCCUGCGUCCGAUUAGCUAGUUGGUGGGGUAAAGCCUACCAAGGCAGCGAUCGGUAGCUGGUCUGAGAGGACGAUCAGCCACACUGGGAUUGAGAACGGCCCAGACUCCUACGGGGGCAGCAGUGAGGAAUUUUCGUCAAUGGCCGAAAGGCUGAACGAGCAACGCCGCGUGCAGGAAGAAGGUCUUCGGAUCGUAAACUG